rnacentral:rRNA from 1 species
AGCGUAUAUUAAACUUGUUGCAGUUAAAAGCUCGUAGUUGAAUUUUAGCGUGUUCGAGUUUGCCAUUCGUUUGGCUUUUUCGAGUUCGCUUUUGGGUUUUCCCUUUUUACUUUGAGAAAAUUAGAGUGUUUCAAGCAGACUUUUGUCUUGAAUACUUCAGCAUGGAAUAAUAGAGUAGGACUUUGGUUCUAUUUUGUUGGUUAUUGAACCUUAGUAAUGGUUAAUAGGAACGGUUGGGGGCAUUCGUAUUUAACUGUCAGAGGUGAAAUUCUUAGA